AUACAGAAGUUAAGAAAAUGACAGAGACCUUCAAAGAUAAACUAGGCCAAGGAGGCUAUGGAGGUGUGUUUAAAGGCAAGUUACCUGAUGGUCGUCUCGUGGCAGUCAAGGUCUUGAAGGAAUCAAAAAGUAAUGGGGAAGAAUUUGUUAAUGAGGUAGCAAGCAUUAGUAGGACUUCUCAUGUUAACAUUGUCAGUCUUUUAGGAUUUUGCUAUGAUGGUCCCAAAUGCGCUCUAAUUUAUGACUUCAUGCCUAAUGGAUCUCUUGAAAAGUAUAUAUAUAAACAAAAUCCCUCGAGAACUAAUCAUGAAUUGG
rnacentral:misc_RNA from 1 species